rnacentral:rRNA from 1 species
UACGUAGGGUGCAAGCGUUGUCCGGAAUUAUUGGGCGUAAAGAGCUUGUAGGCGGUUUGUCGCGUCUGCUGUGAAAUUUCGGGGCUCAACCCCGAACUUGCAGUGGGUACGGGCAGACUAGAGUGUGGUAGGGGAGACUGGAAUUCCUGGUGUAGCGGUGAAAUGCGCAGAUAUCAGGAAGAACACCGAUGGCGAAGGCAGGUCUCUGGGCCACUACUGACGCUGAGAAGCGAAAGCAUGGGGAGCGAACAGG